UUUUAUGAGAGUUUGAUCCUGGCUCAGGACGAACGCUGGCGGCGUGCCUAAUACAUGCAAGUCGAACGCUUCUUUUUCCACCGGAGCUUGCUCCACCGGAAAAAGAGGAGUGGCGAACGGGUGAGUAACACGUGGGUAACCUGCCCAUCAGAAGGGGAUAACACUUGGAAACAGGUGCUAAUACCGUAUAACAAUCAAAACCGCAUGGUUUUGAUUUGAAAGGCGCUUUCGGGUGUCGCUGAUGGAUGGACCCGCGGUGCAUUAGCUAGUUGGUGAGGUAACGGCUCACCAAGGCCACGAUGCAUAGCCGACCUGAGAGGGUGAUCGGCCACAUUGGGACUGAGACACGGCCCAAACUCCUACGGGAGGCAGCAGUAGGGAAUCUUCGGCAAUGGACGAAAGUCUGACCGAGCAACGCCGCGUGAGUGAAGAAGGUUUUCGGAUCGUAAAACUCUGUUGUUAGAGAAGAACAAG
rnacentral:rRNA from 1 species